UUCCCCAUACCCCCCCCCCAAAUUAGGUAACACAAAUGUUAUCUAGUGCCAUCUUUUGACGUAUAUAUACUGUAGGCACUCGGAGUUGCAAUGAAAGAAGUUCAUGCUGAGCAAGCCUACAGAAGGAAUACAUAAAGAAAUAUGGGUGAGGAAGACUUUCAAGGAUUUUCACCCUUGCAGCCACAUGCAGCGUCUUGAGAAAAAGUGCCUAGUUGUGGCCAGUCAACCCCAGUACAAUGAGAGGAUCUUCUCCAUCCACCUAAAUCCUCAGAGCCCUGCAGUGACCUCCCCACUGGGCCAGGUGAUGUGGUGAAAGAGUGCAUGUAGAGAAAGCACCACUGUGAUCUACAGCUUCAGCCCAGAAGCCACAUGCAUCACCGACAUCUACUGGUAAGAAGUCAUCUGGCCAUGCCUGGCUGACAGCAAUAAGUCUGCAAAAUAGAUAACAUGGAUUCUGCUGAACACUGUGAAUACUAUGCAUAUAAAUGGCUUUUUGAGUUGAGUGGAAGCAAACAGACAAAGUCAAG